rnacentral:tmRNA from 1 species
GCUUAAUCGAAGUACAGUAGAUUAACUUUAUCUCCGCACCAGUUGCGGAAACGAGACAUCACCCGAUUGUCCUUUUUCCGAGACGUAUCGAACCGGUGGUGCAGGUAAAUCGGAAAUAUGGCGAGGAAAGCCUCGAUAAUCGCCGAGAUCUUUAGAGGAUAAGGUUAAGAUUGGUCGUCUCUUGCCUAUCUUGACAUGAAAACCAAGAUGAGAAUAAGCAUGUAGAAAGCUCAUUGUUUCGGCGACUGGACGAGGGUUCAAACCCCUCCAGCUCCACUU